rnacentral:rRNA from 1 species
GGGGAAUUUUGGACAAUGGGGGCAACCCUGAUCCAGCCAUGCCGCGUGAGUGAAGAAGGCCUUCGGGUUGUAAAGCUCUUUCAGUUGGGAAGAAACGGAGUUCUCUAACAUAGGGCUCUAAUGACGGUACCGGCAGAAGAAGCACCGGCUAACUACGUGCCAGCAGCCGCGGUAAUACGUAGGGUGCGAGCGUUAAUCGGAAUUACUGGGCGUAAAGGGUGCGCAGGCGGUUGUGUAAGACAGGUGUGAAAUCCCCGGGCUUAACCUGGGAACUGCGUUUGUGCAUGCACAGCUAGAGUACGGCAGAGGGGGGUGGAAUUCCACGUGUAGCAGUGAAAUGCGUAGAUAUGUGGAGGAACACCAAUGGCGAAGGCAGCCCCCUGGGCCGAUACUGACGCUCAUGCACGAAAGCGUGGGGAGCAAAC